CUCAUUUGAACAAGGAGGAGCUAGGGGCAACAGCUUGUACCAACAAACGGUUGGUGCUGAGAAAAUCGUCGUAUAGAUUGAGUUAUAUAUUGUCUUUUUUUCAAGAAAACUCGACAUAUUGCAGUCAAUGAGUUUUAGUACGACUAUUUUUAAUCAAAAUUGUUAAGCGGCGAUCGCGUUUUCCAUCUAAUUUUCUAAAUCACUACGUGUUUGUUAGCUAGCUUACGUCGUUAGCUAGACUAGCCAUCUGCACGAUGAGUUACGGUAGGCCCCCGCCCGAUGUUGAGGGCAUGACUUCUCUUAAAGUGGACAAUCUGACGUAUCGAACCUCACCAGAGACCCUUCGUCGUGUUUUCGAAAAGUAUGGUAGGGUUGGAGAUGUUUACAUUCCCCGAGAUCGUUAUACUAAAGAAAGCAGAGGGUUCGCCUUUGUGCGAUUCCACGACAAGCGGGACGCAGAGGACGCAAUGGACGCGAUGGACGGUGCUGUGCUGGACGGGCGGGAACUGCGAGUUCAGAUGGCCCGCUACGGACGUCCCCCCGAUUCUCACCAUGGAGGUGGUAGCGACCGUGGAGACCGUGGUGACCGUCGACGUGGAGGUGCUCCCCGGAGGUACGGGGCUGAUAGCCGACGAAGUAGGAGUCCCAGGCGUCGCAGGCGCAGCAGAUCCCGGAGCAGGAGCCGAUCAAGGUCCCGCAGCCGCUCCCGCUACAGCCGAUCAAGGUCCCGGUCCUACUCCCGCUCCAAGUCCCGUACACCUCAAAGAGACAAGGCAAAGUCCCCGUCCAGGUCCCGCUCCAGAUCCAAGUCUCCAAAAUCCAAGUCUAAGUCCAAGUCAAAGUCCCGCUCCAGGAGCCACACCCCUGCUGACCGAGGGUCCCGCUCAAGGUCCAGAUCCAAGAGCCAGCCCAAGUCACCUGGAGAGAAUGGAGCCGAAACCCCGUAGAUGACUGAAGAAAUGGUAGGCAUUAGCUGCGGAAUCCUGUUUGCAAAAGAGGAGUUUGAGGCAGUAUGAGCAGUUAGUGAGCUGGGUGUGUGAGCUGUCCGGGCACCUGCUGCUGUUGGGGGUUGCUAUGGAGCAGGCCGGUUGCAGUCAGUGUUGGGGUGGCGUUGAGAUGACACCAAUGGGGACGUCACGUUGAAGUUACUUCAGACUGAGGACCCCGUCCAUACAAUGAUUUCUGGUGUAAAAGGUUAUUAUAGUAUCUUGAUCUGAAGGCUUUGUCUUUUUUUUUUUUGUGCCUAGAAUAGCCAUGUCUUUACGCAAUGUAAAAAAAAAAAGUACCUGAUGGUCUUUUGAGGUAAUGGGAUAAAACGAAAUGCUAUUAAAUGUACAGCAUUGGAAUUUUCAGUCUCUGAAACUGUCAUGGUGAACAUUUGAUGACAUUGCUUUUACCACUCUUAUUUUGGUUUUCAUGUGGAGAGAACAUGUUCAGGAAGUUAAUAGGGAUGGUGAAAGGCCAUUGAAGAAGUUUAAUGUGAGGCUCCAAACUCAAGGCAGGCAUUCAAAAGCUUUUAGAACGAAAAGAACCCCGCAAUGGUUUACUUGCAAGUGAACAUUGCUGUUAGGUUGGCCUUUCUAUUUCAUUGUGAUUCUAAUCUUCUCUCUUGUAUUUUUUGUGCACUAGGCGCAGUUGUGUAGCAGUUGCGUAUUGCUGGUUAGCUGUUAAGGUGGCGUGUUGCAGUGCUUGGCUGUUUCCAGUGUUCUCCAGAAUACUCCUGUGCCUACCAUGCUGUGGUGGCCAACCUAAGUGGCUGCUACAAAUACACCAUCGGUAGAAUGCUUAUCUUCCAACACUUUUUAAAAAUGUUCUCCCAAUUUUUGGUGCACUAAUGGUGCUGUUUUUGUUCAUUCUGUCAAACAGAACACAUGCAUUCUGUCUUGCCCUUUGUGCAUUCCUCUUCCCCCCUUGCAAGAGUCUUCUCAGUCAAAUGUGAGUGCUAAUAAAGAUUUGAUGUUUUCUCUAA